rnacentral:rRNA from 1 species
UAUUUUGGACAAUGGUGGAAACCCUGAUCCCGCCAUCCCGCGUGUAUGAUGAAGGCCUCCGGGUUGCAAAGUACUUUUUGCAGAGAAGGAAAGGUAUCUCCUAAUACCAGAUACUGCUGACGGUAUCUGCAGAUUAAGCUCUGGCUAACUACGUGCAAGCAGCCGCGGUAAUACGUAGGGUGCAAGGGUUAAUCGGAAUUACUGGGCGUAAGGCGUGUGUAGGCGGUUCGGAAAGAAAGAUGUGAAAGCCCAGGGCUCAACCUUGGAACUGCAUUUUUAACUGCCGAGCUAGAGUAUGUCAGAGGGGGGUAGAAUUCCACGUGUAGCAGUGAAAUGCGUAGAUAUGUGGAGGAAUACCGAUGGCGAAGGCAGCCCCCUGGGAUAAUACUGACGCUCAGACACGAAAGCGUGGGGAGCAAACA